UAUUUCCUUAUCUCACUCAACCACCGAAGCCCACACACAUACACCCUCUAGUUCCCUCUAUUUCUCUCACUCCCUCAACAGUAAACCAGCCAUCCACCACCACUUUUGGCGGAUUUCACCGGAGAACCCCAUUAGCAACCCCAUACGCUCCAUUCUCUCAAAGCUUUAAAAGUUCCAAUAAUCUUGGUGAUUGACCUAGUGACUGGAUUAGUUGAUUUUGUGGUGCCCGGUUGAGGUAAAAUUGGCUAGCCUUCCGAGGUAAGUAGCUUUUUAUGGUAUUUUUGGAAAAUAACCAUGUUGUAUAAACAUUGUUUUCGGGUCAAACACAUUUUAGAAAAUUAAUGGUGGAACUAUCUUUUUCUAAAAAGUGUUAUGUUGUGACCCUACUAUAUAUGAUUAUAUAUGAAAGUGCAUAUUUUUAUUUCAUAUGGGGAAUUGCAUGAUUGUUAGCAUGGAAAAGACUAGCAUCUUUGAUUGAAUUCUUGAGAAUGCGUUUUAUGGAUUCAUUGCAUUAUUUGCAAAUUCUAAAGAUGCUUUAUCUUAGCUUGUAUUAUUUGGGAAAUUUACACAAAAUAUUUAUGUCAAGAAAUAGUUUAGAGGAUUUUGAGAAUAUUGUAGCUAUUUGGUUAUUGAAAUAUUUUAUGAAACUACUUAGAAGUGAACUGUGUAUUUUAAAUACAUUAACUUGUGAGCUUUUGACAUGGUUUUGUCAUUGUGCCAUGAUAUUGGUGAUUACCCUGUCUGUGUGACAACCUCGUCUGUGUGACGACCCACCGUCUAUGUGAUGACCCCGUCUAUGUGACGACCCCGUCUGUGUGACGACCCACUGUCCGUGUGACGAUCCCAUCUGUGUGACGACCCGUCUUUGUGACAACUCAUCUGUGUGACAACCUUGUCAUGUGGCCUUGGUUUUUCAGAUAAAUUUGCUAUACCUCAAGCAUGGAGCUUGUUUUAUUGGUGGUGAUUGGAGCAUUAUGCUAAGUGAGAGAUUUAUGCUAUUGAGGUUGCAUACUUUAGAGAGGAUCAUAACUUUGUGUUUAUUUUAUUUGGAACGUUGGAUUGUUAAGUGUAUUUGGAGUCACAUGAUUGUAGUUUGUUUUGCUUGUAAAUGUGUCAUAGAGCUCUGACUUGUAUUGUGGAGAGAUCAAUAUAUUUAUUUAUUUUAUCAAA